rnacentral:rRNA from 1 species
UACGUAGGGGGCAAGCGUUGUCCGGAAUCAUUGGGCGUAAAGAGCGUGUAGGCGGCCCGAUAAGUCCGCUGUGAAAGUCCAGGGCUCAACCCUGGGAUGCCGGUGGAUACUGUCGGGCUCGAGUUCGGGAGAGGGAUGCGGAAUUCCAGGUGUAGCGGUGAAAUGCGUAGAUAUCUGGAGGAACACCGGUGGCGAAGGCGGCAUCCUGGACCGACACUGACGCUGAGGAGCGAAAGCCAGGGGAGCAAAGCGGG